rnacentral:rRNA from 2 species
UGAUGAAGGUUUUCGGAUCGUAAAACUCUGUUGUCGGGGAAGAACAAGUAUGAUAGUAACUGAUCGUACCUUGACGGUACCCGACCAGAAAGCCACGGCUAACUACGUGCCAGCAGCCGCGGUAAUACGUAGGUGGCAAGCGUUGUCCGGAAUUAUUGGGCGUAAAGCGCUCGCAGGCGGUUCUUUAAGUCUGAUGUGAAAUCUUGCGGCUCAACCGUAAACGUGCAUUGGAAACUGGAGGACUUGAGUGCAGAAGAGGAGAGUGGAAUUCCACGUGUAGCGGUGAAAUGCGUAGAGAUGUGGAGGAACACCAGUGGCGAAGGCGACUCUCUGGUCUGUAACUGACGCUGAGGAGCGAAAGCGUGGGGAGCGAACAGGAUUAGAUACCCUGGUAGUCCACGCCGUAAACGAUGAGUGCUAGGUGUUAGGGGGUUUCCGCCCCUUAGUGCUGAAGUUAACGCAUUAAGCACUCCGCCUGGGGAGUACGGCCGCAAGGCUGAAACUCAAAAGAAUUGACGGGGACCCGCACAAGCGGUGGAGCAUGUGGUUUAAUUCGAAGCAACGCGAAGAACCUUACCAGGUCUUGACAUCCUUUGACCGCUCUGGAGACAGAGUUUUCCCUUCGGGGACAAAGUGACAGGUGGUGCAUGGUUGUCGUCAGCUCGUGUCGUGAGAUGUUGGGUUAAGUCCCGCAACGAGCGCAACCCUUGAUCUUAGUUGCCAGCAUUUAGUUGGGCACUCUAAGGUGAC